AGUGCCAAAAUUCGCCACGUUUCUAACCCGUUUGAUUAAGAAAUGGCGUAAAAAACGCCGUUUAAUUUUUCAAAACGCCGAAAAAAACGGCGUUCUGUUUCGACAAACGCCGUUUUUUCCGACUCUCACAUGGCGCCCUGAACGCACCAUCCGAGCGACGUAAAAAGCGGCGUUCAAAGACAGACGGAAACGCCGUUUUUUCCGCCACUCGGCAGAAAACGCCGUUCAAAGAUGCAUAAAAACGGCGUUUUUUACGGCGUUCUGUGCCAGCUGUAACGGCGUUUAAAACGGCGUUUUAUUGAAAUUAUGCAGGGCACUCCCCAUGGUUCCCUCAUCCAAUUACUUUCAACUCAUUUCACCCAAUCAAAGAAGAGGAAGUGCAGACCACACUAAUGCAUCACCGAUUCACCUUGCUGCUAAGUGAUUGCCUAUUCAGUACCAGUGCUUGUCACAGUAUUGACUUGUAUUAUAAUCCCACUAUGCAUUUUGAUGUGUUUAAGGCAUGAUCAAGCAAACAAACGACAGAAUACUUUUUCUGAAACCUUAACUGUGUUACCUGUUAUGGCAGCUAACAGACACUCGGCGCAUGGCUCCUUUGUUUACGUUAGGGAUCAGCUGUUAGCGCUGCGCCCUGCAGCUGCGCUACCGGCAGACGGUAGCGUCCCCAGUGAGGGAAGAGACGGGGGUGAUGUCUCCCGAGAAGGACACCUUACACACCAUCUCUCCUUCCUGUAAUCACUGUAAACGUGAGAUCGCUCCCUGAUAUGAUUGAGGAGCUAAUGACGCUAACCCGGUCACAGUGGCAGUACCCCGACACUGCCCGGUACUCCCUCUGUGAGUAGGCUGCCCGGCUUCCAGCUGCUGCGGCCGGACAAGACGAGAGACAGCGGUGAGAGGAAAGGAGGGGGACUGGGCAGUGUUUGUUAAAGACAGUUGUGGUAUCCCUGGGCACAUUGCUGUGAAAGAACAACUCUGCAACAGAGACAUUGAGCUAUUAGCCAUUAGCAUCCGUGGAGACAGCCUGUGACUCUCUGUGGUCCGCAGACUGCAGACGCAAUCUCCGAGAGCUCUUCUUCUAAUAUCAGGGGACUUUAAUCAUGUCUCGCUGGACUCCACACUGCCCACCUUCACCCAGUAUGUGACCUGCCCCACCGUAGGCAAUAAAACAUUGUACUUAAUGUAUGCCAAUGAAAAAGUGGCAUACAGUUCAUCACCUCCCCCUGCCCAGGGAA